GGUAACAUGGCCGAGUGGUCUAAGGCGCUGGAAUUAGGCUCGGCACCGAUCGAUCACUAAUAAUCGAUCGAUCGAUCGCUUAUGUAAUCCAGUCCUCCGGGGCGUGAGUUCGAACCUCACUGUUAUCA